rnacentral:lncRNA from 1 species
GGCCGGUCGGGGCUUGCGCCCCAGCAGUCCGCACGCCAGGUGGAAGUGCUUGUGAGGUCGGGCUCCGCCCUUGCGCCCCAGCAGGCCUCGCGUCAGGUGGAAGUGCUCGCGAGGUUUCCCAGGGCCACGCGGUAGCCGUGCAGGGGCGGGGUGGGGUUUACGACGGUGGCCGGGGCUGGGGAGCCGUGACAACUUGCUGGGCGCCAGGUAGGCCUGGAGGCCGUGAACUCGUGGUGGUCCGCCCAGGCUGGUAGGCCCAGCUAGGGCAUGGGCACGGGACCGACACGGCGCCGAGCGCAGUACUGGGCCUUCUUGCUCACGUGAGUCCCUGGAGCCUCCUUGGCCUCGCGGUUGGGCAAGCGCUCCGGCUGCUUCGCCUCUGGGCCGGCCGACCGACAAGGUUUCCCUGCUGAUUGAUUCUCUCUUCUCUGUCUGUCACUCCUUCUGAGAUGCGGACAUUGAAGUGCAAAGAAAUGAAAUAAUUGCCCAAGGUCAUGGAGCUAGAAUGCAGUGAAGCCAAGCUACAAAUCUAGACUCUUAAGCCCUUUGCUCCCAAGUCUAUUAAUCUCUGCUUCCAGUAGGAAUCUCCAGCGAUAAAACAAGCUUAAUUUAAACAACUAGGGAAACACCUUCCAAUGCGCUAAUAAUAUUACAAGUAAAAAGGCUGUAAGUGCUCCAGGAAAGUAGAAAAUCAAUAAAGGCUUUACGUCAUCAAGUUGUGGAUUGCAAUUUGAAAGUAUUGAACAUUGAUGCGGUCGUUUCCUCCAAGAGCUAUGCAAACUUGGGCAAACUAUUAACAUGUCAUUGGUGAAUUGGUUGAGAAAUAACUAUACUCUGUAUAAGAGUUUUGUUUGUUUUUUGAGAAGCAAUAGAUGAUAUAUGUAGAAGACUAAGUAGAUUAAAUACAUGAUUUAGGUUUCCUGGCAAAAUGAGUCUUGGACUAAGCCUUUAAGAAUUUAGAGAGCAGAAAAAAAAGGAGAAUGAAAAAGUAAAGAAAAGGAUAUAUUUCUGUAUCUCCAAGCUGUAUCCAUCUAGUGACAAUGGGCAUACUCUUGCCUUUAAAU